ACUCCGAGCCGUGCGCAGCGGCAGCAGGUCUCAGCCCUGGCCCGCACCCGUCCCGCAGCAGGGUUGUACCGCUAGGCGGCCCGGGCCACGCGAGCUCGGCCCGGGUCGGCCCGCAGCUCUCUCCCGCGGGGGCGAAGCAGGACAUCCCCGCUCAGCGCGCCGGGGCUGAGGGGUCGGUGUCCUAGGGGCCGGAGCUUCGCGGCGCGGCGGGAAUCGACCUCCCGCUAAAGCGACCCCAGAGGCUGCAGGUAUAUCUGCAAUGGAAACCAGGACCAGAGCAUAAUGUCUGGUGAAGAUACAGAAAGAGCUCCAAGUAGCUCCCCUACAUCUCUCUAGUAGGGAUAAAAAGACAAAGCCCUUUGGACAUUCAGAGAAUACAGCCUUCUCUCCAUCUGCGGCAUAUAGUUUAGGAAAAAAUACUGCUGGCUAAAGAGAUAGCCUCUCCACCCCCAAAGACACUUGAAAGAAACUGG